rnacentral:rRNA from 1 species
GAUGAACGCUAGCGGAGGCUUAACACAUGCAAGUCGAGGGGCAGCAUAGGGUAGCAAUACUCUGAUGGCGACCGGCAAACGGGUGAGUAACGCGUAUGCAACCUACCCUGUACAGGGGGAUAACCCGGAGAAAUUCGGACUAAUAUCCCGUAAUAAUAUCCGGAGGCAUCUUUGGAUAUUUAAAGUUUCGACGGUACGGGAUGGGCAUGCGUAACAUUAGCUGGUUGGUAAGGUAACGGCUUACCAAGGCUAUGAUGUUUAGGGGUCCUGAGAGGGUGGUCCCCCACACUGGUACUGAGACACGGACCAGACUCCUACGGGAGGCAGCAGUGAGGAAUAUUGGUCAAUGGGCGCAAGCCUGAACCAGCCAUCCCGCGUGCAGGAAGACGGCCCUAUGGGUUGUAAACUGCUUUUCCAGGGAGAGAAACUUACGCACGUGUUGCGUGACUGACGGUACCCUGGGAAUAAGCAUCGGCUAACUCCGUG